CAGAUAGGCAGCUGACCUUCUUGGUAGCUCCAGUCUGAAGAGAACCAAGUGGAGAGGCCAGAGAUACCAUGCAAGAUCUUUCCUCAGGAAAUAUGGGGUGCUGCUUGGCUGAUAGAAAGGUGCCUUUAAGGAAAAGUGGUGUAACUCUCCUGAUGUAAUCAUUACAUAAGGAUUUCAUCAAAAUGACUGCUGUGUUUACAAAGGCAUCAGUAAACAGAGAAUACCCCUGACAGGUCAGAAGUGAUAACGUUUUCCUGACGCAGCACAUAAAUUGCCAAAGAGGCAGGUCUCAUCCCCACCCAAUGAGACAGAACUGAAGAAAACCAUUUCUGCAGUUCCAGUUGGUGUCCUUCACUCCACCAGGAUUCUGUGGGAUGGAGCCCAACACCUUUUGGAAAGUCUCCUCAUGGUUGUCCUCAGCUCUCUGGCAGCUUCCCCUCUCUUCCAUGACCACAUGCCAGCACACGGCCUUUUGCACAAGCAGUUGCCAUCACCUGUGCCUGGAAAAGGAAUUCCCCCAUCCCCACAUCCCGCUGUGUUUGCCGCAGUGCAGGGUUUCCACCAAGGCAGGCCACAAGUCCUGCUGCUGGAAGUUGCAGUCCAAGGCUUCCUGAGAAGCUGAGAGCCUGGUCUCACACCGCAGCCCCCAAACCUUGCCAAGCUGUGCUCCCAGUGCCACUAAUGGUUUAUCUCCCAAUUGCAACUGCUUAGGAGGUGCGAGUGGAUUUGUACAUCUUGUGUUCCCUUGGAUGGGUCAGAGCCCCUGGCUGCAAUCCCAGCAUCUCCCACUGGCUGACUGGAGACAUCCAUCCUGCUCCACCACAGGAGAGGCCAUUCCCUGUCCUGUUUUUAUCAGACAUGCCAGAGAAACUGAAAUAACAGAAAAUAAGGCAGAACUGGGG